UUGUUUAUCGAUCAAAGAUUUGAUCUUUACUGAGCAAAAUCUGAAACCGAAGGGAAAAACCCAGAGAAGAAAAAGAUGUACCGUUCGUCUUCAAUUCGACAAGCUCGGCUUUUCUCUACUUCAGCUUUGCUUCAACGCUUUAGCAGCUUCAACUGGGUCUCUCAAGCUUCCUCCAACCGCUCUGGUUUUCUAGGUUGUUUAAAGAGUUUCAGUGCGGGUGCACAAUUUUCUGAGAAUGUUGGAAAUCCGGAGAUGAAUUUGGAUCAACAGAGUGUGAACAAUAAUGUCUCUGCUCUAUAUGCUUCGGGUUUCCGGAGUUUUAGGCAUCCUUCAUAUCAGAGGAAUUUUGAGACAGGAAGGGAUCCUUCAUAUCAGAGGAAUUUUGAGACAGGGAGGGAUCCUUCAUAUCAGAGGAAUUCUGAGACAGGGAGGGAUCCUUCACAUCAGAUGGAUUUUGAGACAGGGAGGGAUUUCAAGUCCAUGAACUUUGUGAGGAAAGUACUAGAUGAAGAUGGAAAGAGCAUCUUUGGGGGUUCUCAAUUUCCUCGAUACAAAAAUUUUGAGCAAGAUGCUGAUUUUGUGCAUGUAAAGCUUAUGCGCAACAAUACCUUUGUCACUGUGACAGAUUCAAAUGGAAAUAAGAAAUGUGGAGCCUCAUCUGGACAUUUGUCUGAGCUAAAAGGGGGCGCAAAAGUGUCUCGGUAUGCUGCUGAAGCAACAGCAGAACAUGUGGGGCGGCUGGCAAGAAAUAUGGGGAUUAAAUCAGUUGUGGUAAGAGUGAAAGGUUUUACUCAUUUUAAGAAGAAAAGGCAAGCAAUCCUCAGCUUUCGUGAGGGCUUUAGUAAUUCUCGGUCAGAUAAUCCUGUUGUACACAUUGAGGACACCACUAGACGUCCACAUAAUGGAUGCCGGCUUCCUAAGAAAAGACGAGUUUAACUGCCUUGCUUUGACUAGGGGACCGUACCUUUUUAUCUAGGGCUUGCCAGAAGAGGUGGCAAAUUUUUUUUCGCAAGAGGUGAUAGCAUGUUGGCUGAUGUGGGGAUGAUACUCUGUUUUAUCAGCUCCCUUGAAUCUUUCUUGAUUAUGCACAGAGAGGUAUCUAUGGUAUUCUAGUAAUCAAUACUCCAUUCGUCGUUUUCUUCAGUCAGGAUCUGUGAGUGUGGUAUUGCCGCUGCUCCAUAUGAUAUUCUUAAUGAAACACUUGAGGAGAUGCAUAAAACUC